rnacentral:rRNA from 1 species
UACGGAGGGGGCAAGCGUUAUCCGGAUUCACUGGGUUUAAAGGGUGCGUAGGCGGGCAGGUAAGUCAGUGGUGAAAUCUCCGGGCUUAACCCGGAAACUGCCGUUGAUACUAUCUGUCUUGAAUAUCGUGGAGGUAAGCGGAAUAUGUCAUGUAGCGGUGAAAUGCUUAGAUAUGACAUAGAACACCCAUUGCGAAGGCAGCUUACUACACGAUCAUUGACGCUGAGGCACGAAAGCGUGGGGAGCAAACAGG